CAUGGCUCAGAAUGAACGCUGGCGGCAUGCCUAACACAUGCAAGUCGAACGAAGGCUUCGGCCUUAGUGGCGCACGGGUGCGUAACGCGUGGGAAUCUGCCCCUCGGUUCGGAAUAACAGUUAGAAAUGACUGCUAAUACCGGAUGAUGACGUAAGUCCAAAGAUUUAUCGCCGAGGGAUGAGCCCGCGUAGGAUUAGCUAGUUGGUGUGGUAAGAGCGCACCAAGGCGACGAUCCUUAGCUGGUCUGAGAGGAUGAUCAGCCACACUGGGACUGAGACACGGCCCAGACUCCUACGGGAGGCAGCAGUGGGGAAUAUUGGACAAUGGGCGAAAGCCUGAUCCAGCAAUGCCGCGUGAGUGAUGAAGGCCUUAGGGUUGUAAAGCUCUUUUACCCGGGAUGAUAAUGAC
rnacentral:rRNA from 1 species